AUUGAACGCUGGCGGCAGGCCUAACACAUGCAAGUCGAACGAGUGGCGGACGGGUGAGUAAUGUCUGGGAAACUGCCUGAUGGAGGGGGAUAACUACUGGAAACGGUAGCUAAUACCGCAUACCAUCAGAUGGGCCCAGAUGGGAUUAGUUUGUUGGUGGGGUAACGGCUCACCAAGGCGACGAACCCUAGCUGGUCUGCGCGGAUGACCACCCACACUGGACCUGAGACACGGUCCAGACUCCGACGGUAGGCAGCAGUGGGGAAUAUUGCACAAUGGUCUAGAGCCUGAUGCAGCCAUGCCGCGUGUAUGAAGAAGGCCUUCGGGUUGUAAAGUACUUUCAGCGGGGAGGCGUUACCCGCAGAAGAAGCACCGGCUAACGCCGUGCCAGCAGCCGCGGUAAUAC
rnacentral:rRNA from 1 species